AUCACCAACCUCCAGGUUCUCACUGUUUCAUUCGUGCUCAAUCGUUCAAUCAUAACAUAGCUUUGUAACAUAAGUGUUCAACCUUGUAGACCCAGCUUUCGCAAAAGGAAGUCAGGAUCACCGAGUUAGAGACAUAGUACAGGGAGAUGGCCAUCUACAUGCGAACUCUUGGGGCUUAGAUGGGAGCACCUCCGCCACCAAACUUGUACGUUCCACCCGCUCUAGGUGGACCUAGCCCAGUGAUUUUCACUUCACUUAACCAUGCAAUCUCUACCUUUGUAGAUGUAGAUGUAAUUGUGGUUGCAUGCCAUCGAGCCGCUGUGGAUGUCGGCCGGCCGUCGUGCCGCUGUGCUUGUCGGCCUUCGUGCCGAUGCUUUUCUUGCAGGUCUUGGGAACCUUCCCGUGCAGGGGAGGUGCUGCCAAAAUUUUCAUUUGAAACCACUAUGUAUAUCUUCAACUUCAAGUAUUUAAUCUCAAAAUUCACUUAUGACACGUUUGUCUCAUCCUUUGUGUAGCUUCACUCCCAGGGUUCUACUCAAGCGCCCAAUGAGCAAAGUCCUCAAGACGGUGGGUGGAGCGACCAUGUCAAUCCGUACCAACCUCCAGGCGAUUCAUGGGGCAGACGAGAUGGAUUCGGUUGGUGAACUUGUAGUUUGUUCAUGGAAUGUCGUUUUGUCGGACGUGUUGUUGAACUUGUGGUUUCCUCAGACUUGUGAUGGAUUUGGUGAUGAACAUGUGUUUAUGUAUGUGACAUGUACGUUAUAUGUAUGUGAGAGAUUUGGUAUAUCAUGGUUAUUGUGGCAAAUGUG
rnacentral:lncRNA from 1 species